UUAGAGUUUGAUUCCUGGCUCAGGACGAACGCUGGCGGCGUGCUUAACACAUGCAAGUCGAACGAGGACACGGAGCUUGCUCCGUGAGCCGAGUGGCGGACGGGUGAGUAACACGUGACCAACCUGUCCUAGGGUGGGGGAUAACUUGGGGAAACCCGGGCUAAUACCGCAUGAUGUCCUGUCAUCGCAUGGUGACUUGAUCAAAGGGAGCCUCUGCUUGCAAGCUCUCGCCCAAGGAGGGGGUCGCGACGUACCAGCUAGUUGGUGGGGUAAUGGCCCACCAAGGCUACGACGCGUAGCGGGUCUGAGAGGACGACCCGUCACAUUGGGACUGAGAUACGGCCCCCACUCCUACGGGAGGCAGCAGCAGGGAAUCUUGCGCAAUGGGCGAAAGCCUGACGCAGCGACGCCGCGUGAAGGAAGAAGGCCUGCGGGUUGUAAACUUCUUUUCUGGGGGAAGACAUCCGACGGACCCUA
rnacentral:rRNA from 1 species